AACGAACGCUGGCGGCAUGCCUAACACAUGCAAGUCGAACGAUCCCUUCGGGGAUAGUGGCGCACGGGUGCGUAACGCGUGGGAACCUGCCCUUAGGCUCGGAAUAACUCAGAGAAAUUUGAGCUAAUACCGGAUAAUGUCUUCGGACCAAAGAUUUAUCGCCUUUGGAUGGGCCCGCGUUGGAUUAGCUGGUUGGUGGGGUAAAGGCCUACCAAGGCGACGAUCCAUAGCUGGUCUGAGAGGAUGAUCAGCCACACUGGGACUGAGACACGGCCCAGACUCCUACGGGAGGCAGCAGUGGGGAAUAUUGGACAAUGGGCGAAAGCCUGAUCCAGCAAUGCCGCGUGAGUGAUGAAGGCCUUAGAGUUGUAAAGCUCUUUUACCCGGGAUGAUAAUGACAGUACCGGGAGAAUAAGCCCCGGCUAACUCCGUG
rnacentral:rRNA from 1 species